GCUCAGAUUACACCUUAUAAUUAUGUCUCUCCUGCUGAGGUAUCCCAAAAGGUGCAAUUAAAAGAUAACUAUACAGAAAAUAAUGCCUUAAUUUAGUAUUUAAAUAGAAUUACAAUGAUUCUGAGUAUCCAGAGAGUAGAUCUGUUUCUCAGUUCGCCCUCAUAGUCAUCUGCCCAGUGAAUGAUCCCUUUUUUGAACUAAAUUAUCAUGAUUGAGAGACACCCUUCAGAUAGAAUGACAUGGUCUCUUAGCUGCAACCAGAACUCAGAGAACCUCAAACUUUAUAUCAGAGACAUGAGAGGACUCUUACUUUUCUUUACUCCUUUUUCUUCAGAAUAAAUUUCCACCUUUGGAAGUAUUAGGAUAAGAUCUAAGUCUCAGAAUACAUUGAAUUAUGCUUGAUAUUUCAGUUUUUUUUUUUCUGGUACUAUGAUAAACUAUCAGAAAUUUAGUGAUUAAAAGCAACACAGGUGAUUAUCUUACAAGUUUAUACAACAGAAGUUCCCAACAGAUCUCAUUGGGCUAAAGAUGUUGAAGAGCUGUACUGUUUUUGGAGAAUCCAAAAUAAAACUGUUUUCCUUCUCUUUUCCAGCUUUCAGAGACCUUCCUCAUUCCUUGGCUCGCCCCCUUCCUAGACCUUCAAAGUCAGCAAUGACAGGUUGAGUCGUUCACACAUGUGGCAUCUUUCUCAACUUGGUAUUUGCUUUUUAAUCUUUUUUUAUGAUCUUUCCAAGGCACAGACAUAUCCAACACCAAAUUCAAAUGAAAGACAUCAAGCAAUAUGCACCGUGCUCCUGUAAGAUAAAGCUUUAUCAUGUUCAGCACCCUUUUGUCUUAGAAGAGAUCUUCUCCUUGGACGCUAUGUACUGUGAGAUUUAAGUAGUUGUGGACUUAACGGACUCAGCAAUUUCCCAGAUGUAUCCACUAAAUAACGUACUCAGACACAUCUUAAUCUCUAACUGACAAUUUCUUCUCUUGACCAUGAAAAUGAAAAGUACCAAAACAGGCAAGCAGAUCAAGGCUGAGGUCUGUUUAGAGGAAGGAGAGACAGUACCUGUUUGGAAGAUUCAGUCAAGGAUUCUUGGAAAUGUUGUUUGCAUUCUGGCUGACCUGAAAGAAGAAUUAUAAUAAAUCAGGGAUAAUAGAAACAUCUGCUAGGGUUGAGGCAGCAUCACAAUACCCAUCACAGAGUCAAGAAAUAAUAGGGCACAUGUGGAAAAAAGCAAACAGUGCUAUUUGCCAAGAAAAUAGAGAUAUGUCGGCCGGGCGUGGAGGCUCACGCCUGUAAUCCCAGCACUUUGGGAGGCCGAGGCAGGUGGAUCACAAGGUCAGGAGAUCGAGACCAUCCUGGUUUCAACACAGUGAAACCCUGUCUUUACUAAAAACACAAAAAAUUAGCCAGGUCUGGUGGCAGGCGCGUGUAGUCCCAGCUACUCGGGAGGCUGAGGCAGGAGAAUGGCGUGAACCCGGGAGGCAGAGCUUGCAGUGAGCGGAGAUCGCACCACUGCACUGCAGCCUGGCUGCAGAGAGACUUCAUCUCAAAAAAAAAAAAAAAAAAAAAAAAAAGAAGAAAAGAAAAGAAAAUGGAGAUAGGUCAGAAAUAAUGACAGUCAUUUGGAAAAGGUAAGUAGUGGCCACUAUACUAAGGAAGAUUUUAUAAAUGAAUUUAACUUUGCUCC
ensembl:lncRNA